rnacentral:rRNA from 1 species
GACGAACGCUGGCGGCGUGCUUAACACAUGCAAGUCGAACGGAAAGGCCCUGCUUUUGUUGGUUUCUCGAGUGGCGAACGGGUGAGUAACACGUGAGUAACCUGCCCUUGACUUUGGGAUAACUUCAGGAAACUGGGGCUCAUACCGGGUAGGAGCUCCUGCUGCAUGGUGGGGGUUGGUGAGUUUCGGCGGUUGGGGAUGGACUCGCGGCUUAUCAGCUUGUUGGUGUGGUAGUGGCUUACCAAGGCUUUGACGGGUAGCCGGCCUGGGAGGGUGACCGGCCACAUUGGUACUGAGAUACGGCCCAGACUCCUACGGGAGGCAGAAGUGGGGAAUAUUGCACAAUGGGCGGAAGCCUGAUGCAGCAACGCCGCGUGCGGGAUGACGGCCUUCGGGUUGUAAACCGCUUUCGACUGUGACGAAGCGUGAGUGACGGUAAUGGGUAAAGAAGCACCGGCUAACUACGUG